GUAUUGGUAGUUCAAUGGUAGAAUUCUCCCUUUUCACGCGGAAGAUCUGAGUUCAGUUCUCAGCCAACGCA
rnacentral:tRNA from 1 species